CAAAUCCUCAGAGAAGAGAUGGCCACAGAUGGUAGCAAAAUAGUGACAAGGAGUGACAGAGCCCACUGGCAUGGAGUUCAAUGUGAAAGGGACUUUACAAACAAGGGUGGAAGCCAGGUACCAUCUCUUCACCCUAUGCAGGUUGGACACGGGAGAAGAGAAAUAGCCCUUCGGGACUGAAGGCUCAUGGCAGAUGGUGCAGUCAGAGACAGAGAAUUCUGUGAAGAAGCUGGACUUACAGGAAGACUGUUUCUACACUAGUCGGAGAGGAAAGGAUUCAGAGAGGCUUCCCACCUGGGCUGCACUCUGAUCCCUGGCACAUCGUCUUGUCUCCAGAGAACUGAAGUCACUGCAUUCUUUAAUGCCAUCAUCUCUUCCCUCAUUGAGAGUCUCAGCACGAUUUGAGAAGGGACUCUAGAUUCAGCAAAGGAAGAAAAGGCUGUCCCAGCUCCGCAAGCCUGCACCAACCCUGCCCAUCACUCCUGAGGACAGAGGCAUUCAAUGAUGACCUGAAUUCCCUGUCACAGGCCAUGGGGCUGCAUCGGGCUGUGUAUCUGUGCAUCAGGGCCACUCACCCUGGAGGAUAAUAAGAAGCACUG